UACGAGGGGGGCUAGCGUUGCUCGGAAUGACUGGGCGUAAAGGGCGCGUAGGCGGUUCAUACAGUCAGAUGUGAAAUUCCUGGGCUCAACCUGGGGGCUGCAUUUGAUACGUGUGGACUAGAGUGGGGAAGAGGGUCGUGGAAUUCCCAGUGUAGAGGUGAAAUUCGUAGAUAUUGGGAAGAACACCGGUGGCGAAGGCGGCGACCUGGUCCUUGACUGACGCUGAGGCGCGACAGCGUGGGGAGCAAACAGG
rnacentral:rRNA from 1 species